rnacentral:rRNA from 1 species
UACAGAGGUGGCAAGCGUUGUUCGGAAUUACUGGGCGUAAAGGGCGCGUAGGUGGCCUUCUAAGUUGAACGUGAAAUCCCCAGGCUCAACCUGGGAACUGCGUCUGAUACUGGAUGGCUUGAAUCUGGGAGAGGGAUGCAGAAUUCCAGGUGUAGCGGUGAAAUGCGUAGAUAUCUGGAGGAAUACCGGUGGCGAAGGCGGCAUCCUGGACCGGCAUUGACGCUGAGGAGCGAAAGCCAGGGGAGCAAACGGG